AUUGAACGCUGGCGGCAGGCCUAACACAUGCAAGUCGAGCGAGCGGCGGACGGGUGAGUAAUGUAUGGGGACUGCCCGAUAGAGGGGGAUAACUACUGGAAACGGUAGCUAAUACCGCAUACUAUCGGAUAACCCAUAUGGGAUUAGCUAGUAGGUGAGGUAAUGGCUCACCUAGGCGACGAUCCCUAGCUGGUCUGAGAGGAUGAUCAGCCACACGGGGACGGAGAACGGCCCCAGACUCCAAGGGAGGCAGCAGGGGGAAAUAUUGAACAAGGGGCGAAAGCCGGAUGCAGCCAGGCCGCGUGUAUGAAGAGGGCCCUAGGUUUGUAAAGUACUUUCAGUCGGGAGGCGUUACCGACAGAAGAAGCACCGGCUAACUCCGUGCCAGCAGCCGCGGUAAUAC
rnacentral:rRNA from 1 species